UACAGAGGUCCCAAGCGUUGUUCGGAUUCACUGGGCGUAAAGGGUGCGUAGGUGGUCGGGUAAGUCUGAUGUGAAAUCUCCGAGCUUAACUCGGAAAUGGCAUUGGAUACUACCUCGCUAGAGGAUCGGAGGGGAGACUGGAAUUCUCGGUGUAGCGGUGAAAUGCGUAGAUAUCGGAAGGAACAUCAGUGGCGAAAGCGGCUUCCUGGACCAGUACCGACGUCAGGCACGAAAGCGUGGGGAGCAAACAGG
rnacentral:rRNA from 1 species